AUUGAACGCUGGCGGCAUGCCUUACACAUGCAAGUCGAACGGCAGCGGGGGAGAAGCUUGCUUUUCCUGCCGGCGAGUGGCGAACGGGUGAGUAAUACAUCGGAACGUGCCCUGUAGUGGGGGAUAACUAGUCGAAAGAUUAGCUAAUACCGCAUACGACCUGAGGGUGAAAGUGGGGGACCGCAAGGCCUCAUGCUAUAGGAGCGGCCGAUGUCUGAUUAGCUAGUUGGUGGGGUAAAGGCCUACCAAGGCGACGAUCAGUAGCUGGUUUGAGAGGACGAUGAGCCACACUGGGACUGGGACACGGCCCAGACUCCUACGGGAGGCAGCAGUGGGGAAUUUUGGACAAUGGGCGAAAGCCUGAUCCAGCAAUGCCGCGUGUGUGAAGAAGGCCUUCGGGUUGUAAAGCACUUUUGUCCGGAAAGAAAUGGCUCUGGUUAAUACCUGGGGUCGAUGACGGUACCGGAAGAAUAAGGACCGGCUAACUACGUGCCAGCAGCCGCGGUAA
rnacentral:rRNA from 1 species